rnacentral:rRNA from 1 species
CAGCAGCCGCGGGAAUACAGAGGGUGCAAGCGUUAAUCGGAAUUACUGGGAGUAAAGCGCGCGUAGGUGGUUUGUUAAGUUGGAUGUGAAAUCCCCGGGCUCAACCUGGGAACUGCAUCCAAAACUGGCAAGCUAGAGUAUGGUAGAGGGUGGUGGAAUUUCCUGUGUAGCGGUGAAAUGCGUAGAUAUAGGAAGGAACACCAGUGGCGAAGGCGACCACCUGGACUGAUACUGACACUGAGGUGCGAAAGCGUGGGGAGCAAACAGGAUUAGAUACCCCGGUAGUCCCUGUCUCUUAUAA